GACUGUGCAAGGUAGCAUAAUCAUUAGUUUUUUAAUUGAAGACUUGAAUAAAUGGUUGAAUGUAAUAUUUAUUGUUUCUUUAUAUUUUUUAUUUAAUUUUAUAUUUUGGUUAAAAAGCUAAAAUUUUUAUUAAAGACGAGAAGACCCUAUAAAGCUUUAUAUCUAAAAAAAAUUAUUAAUAAAAUAAUUUUAAAAAUUUUUAUUUUAAGAUAUUUUAUUGGGGUGAUAAAAAAAUUUAAUAAACUUUUUUUUUGUUUUCAUUUAUAUAUGUAUAAUUAAUUAAAUAAUUUUAUUAUUUAUUUGUUUUUUGAUCCUUUAAUAAUGAUUAAAAGUUUAAGUUACUUUAGGGAUAACAGCGUAAUUUUUUUGGGGAGUUCAAAUUUAUAAAAAAAAUUGCGACCUCGAUGUUGGACUAAGAGUUAAUUUUAGGUGUAGAAGUUUAAAAUUUUAAGUCUGUUCGACUUUUUAUUCUUACGUGAUCUGAGUUCAAACCGGUGUAAGCCAGG
rnacentral:rRNA from 1 species